rnacentral:rRNA from 1 species
UACGGAGGGUGCAAGCGUUAUCCGGAUUCACUGGGUUUAAAGGGUGCGUAGGAGGGCAGGUAAGUCAGUGGUGAAAUCCGGCGGCUUAACCGUCGAACUGCCAUUGAUACUGCAGGCCUUGAAUUAUUGGGAAGUAACUAGAAUAUGUAGUGUAGCGGUGAAAUGCUUAGAUAUUACAUGGAAUACCGAUUGCGAAGGCAGGUUACUAUCAAUACAUUGACGCUGAUGGACGAAAGCGUGGGGAGCGAACAGG